rfam:Clostridium spiroforme DSM 1552 Scfld_02_11 genomic scaffold, whole genome shotgun sequence.
AUAGAAGAUAGAGGCGCGAAUAGUUAUGAAAUUUUUAUUGUAAGAUGCAAACUAGAUAAAAGUAGAGGAGCUUUCGCCGAAGAGAUAAAUGAUUGCAUGCAUUUAUACUCUGGUCUUAUAGAGAAUAUCUAUAAGACUGUCAUUAUCAUUUGAUAAUGAUGAGCUAUCAUUGUU